rnacentral:rRNA from 1 species
ACGAACGCUGGCGGCGUGCUUAACACAUGCAAGUCGAACGGAAAGGCCCUGCUUUUGUGGGGUGCUCGAGUGGCGAACGGGUGAGUAACACGUGAGUAACCUGCCCUUGACUUUGGGAUAACUUCAGGAAACUGGGGCUAAUACCGGAUAGGAGCUCCUGCUGCAUGGUGGGGGUUGGAAAGUUUCGGCGGUUGGGGAUGGACUCGCGGCUUAUCAGCUUGUUGGUGGGGUAGCGGCUUACCAAGGCUUUGACGGGUAGCCGGCCUGAGAGGGUGACCGGCCACAUUGGGACUGAGAUACGGCCCAGACUCCUACGGGAGGCAGCAGUGGGGAAUAUUGCACAAUGGGCGGAAGCCUGAUGCAGCAACGCCGCGUGCGGGAUGACGGCCUUCGGGUUGUAAACCGCCUUCGCCUGUGACGAAGCGUGAGUGACGGUAAUGGGUAAAGAAGCACCGGCUAACUACGUG